CAGCAGCCGCGGUAAUACGGAGGAUUCAAGCGUUAUCCGGAAUCAUUGGGUUUAAAGGGUCCGUAGGCGGUCUUGUAAGUCAGUGGUGAAAGCCCAUCGCUCAACGGUGGAACGGCCAUUGAUACUGCAGGACUUGAAUUAUUGGGAAGUAACUAGAAUAUGUAGUGUAGCGGUGAAAUGCUUAGAGAUUACAUGGAAUACCAAUUGCGAAGGCAGGUUACUACCAAUUGAUUGACGCUGAUGGACGAAAGCGUGGGUAGCGAACAGGAUUAGAUACCCGCGUAGUCCCUGUCUCUUAUAC
rnacentral:rRNA from 1 species